UGUCUUUUAGAAAAUAAUUUAAAGUCUAAUCUGCCCACUGAUUUUUAAUUAAAGGGCUGCAGUAUAUUGACUGUACAAAGGUAGCAUAAUCAUUAGUCAUUUAAUUGAUGACUUGUAUGAAAGAUUGGAUGAAAUAUGAACUGUCUCUUAUUUAAAUAUAAAAUUUAAUUUUUUUAUCAAAAAGUUAAAAUAGUUUAAAAAGACGAGAAGACCCUAUAGAGUUUUAUUAAUAUAUUAAUUAAGAUUAUAUGUAAAAUAAAUUUAAAAUUAAAUUAUUAAUUUUAUUGGGGUGAUAGAAAAAUAUAUUUAACUUUUUUUAAGUAAAACAUUUAUAAGUGGUUAAAUGAUCCAAUAAUGUUGAUUAUAAGAAUAAAUUACCUUAGGGAUAACAGCGUAAUUUUUUUUUUUAGUUCAAAUAAAAAAAAGAGUUUGCGACCUCGAUGUUGGAUUAAGAUAAAAUUUAAAUGCAGAAG
rnacentral:rRNA from 1 species